ensembl:snoRNA U3 Small nucleolar RNA U3
AAGACUACACUUUCAGGGAUCAUUUCUAUAGUUCUUUACUAAAAUCUCCAAGUUCUUGAUUCAAAUAAUAUCCACAUACUCUGUCAGCCUAAAAGUCUGCUCCUAGAGAGUGAAGCCAAGAGUGAUCAGGGUCACUUGAUCACUUGUGAAAGCAAACCUGAUAAUAAUAGCAGUAAUAGUAGCUGCCAUACUGAGUAA